UGGUAGAUACUAUUCUUUAAUUUCAUGUUUCACUUCCUUUAAGAACAAAUUCUUAAAUUAUUAUUUUAACAACCAAACACUACAAUAUACACCAAAGAUAAUAUCCAGUGGUGUGUUUCAGAGUGAGGGGUGAGACUGGGGACAGACAUGGAGUUGAGAAUAAUCACACUUGCAACACAGAUGUGUAAAUUUUUCUCCCUUCUCUCAAUAUCAAAUUUUAGUGCUAGAAAGGCUUUGUGGAAAAUGACAUGAAAGUCCAAAGAAAUUAAGGGGGCUAGGAUUAUUUGAAUUAGGUGGAAGAAUAAUGAUUAAACAGGUAGGACCAUAAUUCUCAAAAUGUUAUUUCUACCAAUGUUCCAUUUUCUCCACAUACAAAUCUUCUAUCAGGUAUUCAGGAAUGGUAAAGAAAGUUUCCACAUGCUCUUGGUUGAUGAAAAUGUCUGGUUCUUCAGUUUCUAUUUCAGAGUCAAUUGUAGAACUGUAUUCAUUAGUAGAAUUUUAGAAUGUCAGUCCAAAUAGUCACCAGGUAAUUCCACUAACAAUAGGAGAAAGUGAUGAACAUAAGCAUUUGAGGACUAGUGAGUCGAGCACAAAAUUUUAUAAUCCAUGCAGAAACAAAAAUGUU
rnacentral:lncRNA from 1 species